GACGAACGCUGGCGGCGUGCUUAACACAUGCAAGUCGAACGGAAAGGCCCCUUUGGGGGUACUCGAGUGGCGAACGGGUGAGUAACACGUGAGUAACCUGCCCUUGACUUCGGGAUAACUUCAGGAAACUGGGGCUAAUACCGGAUAGGAAUCCUUGCUGCAUGGUGGGGGUUGGAAAGCUUCGGCGGUUUUGGAUGGACUCGCGGCUUAUCAGCUUGUUGGUGGGGUAGUGGCUUACCUAGGCUUUGACGGGUAGCCGGCCUGAGAGGGCGACCGGCCACAUUGGGACUGAGAUACGGCCCAGACUCCUACGGGAGGCAGCAGUGGGGAAUAUUGCACAAUGGGCGGAAGCCUGAUGCAGCAACGCCGCGUGCGGGAUGACGGCCUUCGGGUUGUAAACCGCUUUCAGCAGGGGCGAAGCUUGUGGUGACGGUACCUGCAGAAGAAGCACCGGCUAACUACGUG
rnacentral:rRNA from 1 species